AGAGUUUGAUCCUGGCUCAGGAUGAACGCUAGCGGCAGGCUUAACACAUGCAAGUCGAGGGGCAGCGAGGGUAAUAGCAAUAUUACCUGUCGGCGACCGGCGCACGGGUGCGUAACGCGUAUGCAACCUACCAUCAACAGGGGGAUAACACUGAGAAAUUGGUACUAAUACCCCAUAAUAUCUCAUGCGGCAUCGCAUGGGGUUGAAAACUCCGGUGGUUGAUGAUGGGCAUGCGUUGUAUUAGCUGGUUGGUGAGGUAACGGCUCACCAAGGCGACGAUACAUAGGGGGACUGAGAGGUUAACCCCCCACAUUGGUACUGAGACACGGACCAAACUCCUACGGGAGGCAGCAGUGAGGAAUAUUGGUCAAUGGACGCAAGUCUGAACCAGCCAUGCCGCGUGCAGGAUGACGGCUCUAUGAGUUGUAAACUGCUUUUGUACGAGGGUAAACCCCGAUACGUGUAUUGGGUUGAAAGUAUCGUACGAAUAAGGAUCGGCUAACUCCGUGCCAGCAGCCGCGGUAAUACGGAGGAUCCGAGCGUUAUCCGGAUUUAUUGGGUUUAAAGGGUGCGUAGGCGGUUUGAUAAGUUAGAGGUGAAAUGUCGGGGCUCAACCCCGAAACUGCCUCUAAUACUGUUGGACUAGAGAAUAGUUGCGGUAGGCGGAAUGUAUGGUGUAGCGGUGAAAUGCUUAGAGAUCAUACAGAACACCGAUUGCGAAGGCAGCUUACCAAACUAUAUCUGACGUUGAGGCACGAAAGCGUGGGUAGCAAACAGGAUUAGAUACCCUGGUAGUCCACGCAGUAAACGAUGAUAACUCGUUGUCGGCGAUACACAGUCGGUGACUAAGCGAAAGCGAUAAGUUAUCCACCUGGGGAGUACGUUCGCAAGAAUGAAACUCAAAGGAAUUGACGGGGGCCCGCACAAGCGGAGGAACAUGUGGUUUAAUUCGAUGAUACGCGAGGAACCUUACCCGGGCUUAAAUUGCAGCGGAAUGAUGUGGAAACAUGUCAGUGAGCAAUCACCGCUGUGAAGGUGCUGCAUGGUUGUCGUCAGCUCGUGCCGUGAGGUGUCGGGUUAAGUCCCAUAACGAGCGCAACCCCUACUGUUAGUUGCCAUCAGGUGAUGCUGGGCACUCUAGCGGGACUGCCGGUGUAAGCCGAGAGGAAGGUGGGGAUGACGUCAAAUCAGCACGGCCCUUACGUCCGGGGCCACACACGUGUUACAAUGGUAGGUACAGAGGGCAGCUACCCUGCGAAGGGGUGCGAAUCUCGAAAGCCUAUCUCAGUUCGGAUUGGAGGCUGAAACCCGCCUCCAUGAAGUUGGAUUCGCUAGUAAUCGCGCAUCAGCCAUGGCGCGGUGAAUACGUUCCCGGGCCUUGUACACACCGCCCGUCAAGCCAUGGGAGCCGGGGGUACCUGAAGUGCGUAACCGCAAGGAGCGCCCUAGGGUAAAACUGGUGACUGGGGCUAAGUCGUAACAAGGUAGCCGUACCGGAAGGUGCGGCUG
rnacentral:rRNA from 1 species